rnacentral:lncRNA from 1 species
CAUUGACAUUAAAAUCAGCAGAAAAUAUGGUGGAAAAUGCAAAGGAGACACUUAAAAGAUCAAGUAUAGUGCAAAGUUGGAUGCAAUCCCCAGUAGCCUUUACCAUUUCAAUUGGAAUGGUGCUGAUUUUCUUGUACCUAUGUGGUUGCUGCUGCAAAGGCAAAAAAAGAAAUGUGAAAAUGGUGAAUAAAGCUCCAGGUCGUAGGCAUAAUACAAGGAUAUCAAGGCACUACAGAUAAAAAUUUACUCUCGACAUUUACCACGGUAAAGUGAUAUGUAUUGUUAUAUAAGUUUUUAAUUAUACGUUAAAUUAUUUGAUUUGAUAUAAACACUCCGUGUGGAUAAGUGUUUAUAUGCUUUUGAGAACAUUCCUAAAUCUUAUUUCCGCAAUCUCAAUUCCAAGAAAAAUUAAUUUUGAUAUCCUGAAAUUUUCUCAAAGUAUUUUGAUUGAGCUUAAUGUUUUUUUCCUUGUGGUUAUUAGCCUGUUUGGCUAAGCUUCUAAAAUUAGUUUAUUUUGAGAUUUUUUUUUUUUAAAGUAUUUUUUUCAUAAGUACUUUUGGCAAGAAGCAGUUUGUGUUUGGCUAAUUAAUUUGAAAAACACUUAUGAGCGGUAAUUGGUGUUUGGCCAAGCCUUUAAAACUGCUUCUAAGUAUAUUUUUCUCAAAAGUGCUUUUUAAAAAAGUGUGUUUAGAGAUAAAUUAUUUUUUUCUGUUUCUCCAAAAUCGCUUCUGCUUCUACUCAAAAAUUCUUUUUUCCUUCUAAAAGUUUUACCAAACACUUCAACGUUGAAAAAAAAAAUAACACUUUAAAAAAAGUACUUUUUGGGGUUGGAAAAGCUUUGACCAAACAGGCUACAUGUAGCAUAAGCCAUAUCAUGUAUAUUUGAUUUUGGUAAGAGUAUGGCAUCUCAUGAGGCGAUUUGGCUAAGAGAACAUACGUAGUGUAUGUUACGUCGUGCAAUUAGUUUUGUGAUUGUGUAGAACAUUAAAGAGUUGCGCACAAUUUUAGCUAUGGCGUUUCUAAUUGGAUGAGAUUAUUAAGACACUUAGGAGUUGUUGUGUUGGCGAGUGAAGG